GCCGAGCGGUAUUGUUUCUUCGGAAAUGAGAGAGCGGCGUACGGGUGCGGAACACGUGUGCAACCUGCCUUUAUCUGGGGGAUAGCCUUUCGAAAGGAAGAUUAAUACCCCAUAAUAUAUUGACUGGCAUCAGUUGAUAUUGAAAACUCCGGUGGAUAGAGAUGGGCACGCGCAAGAUUAGAUAGUUGGUGAGGUAACGGCUCACCAAGUCUACGAUCUUUAGGGGGCCUGAGAGGGUGAUCCCCCACACUGGUACUGAGACACGGACCAGACUCCUACGGGAGGCAGCAGUGAGGAAUAUUGGACAAUGGGUGAGAGCCUGAUCCAGCCAUCCCGCGUGAAGGACGACGGCCCUAUGGGUUGUAAACUUCUUUUGUAUAGGGAUAAACCUACUCUCGUGAGAGUAGCUGAAGGUACUAUACGAAUAAGCACCGGCUAACUCCGUGCCAGCAGCCGCGGUAAUACGGAGGGUGCAAGCGUUAUCCGGAUUUAUUGGGUUUAAAGGGUCCGUAGGCGGAUCUGUAAGUCAGUGGUGAAAUCUCACAGCUUAACUGUGAAACUGCCAUUGAUACUGCAGGUCUUGAGUGUUGUUGAAGUAGCUGGAAUAAGUAGUGUAGCGGUGAAAUGCAUAGAUAUUACUUAGAACACCAAUUGCGA
rnacentral:rRNA from 1 species